rnacentral:lncRNA from 1 species
UUUUUUUUUUUUUUUUUUUUUUUUGAGAUGGAGUCUCGCUCUGUCGCCCAGGCUGGAGUGCAGUGGCCGGAUCUCAGCUCACUGCAAGCUCCGCCUCCCGGGUCCACGCCAUUCUCCUGCCUCAGCCUCCGGAAUAGCUGGGACUACAGGCGCCCGCCACCUCACCCGGCUAGUUUCUUUUGUAUUUUUCAGUAGAGACGGGGUUUCACCAUGUUAGCCAGGAUGGUCUCGAUCUCCUGACCUCGUGAUCCACCCGUCUUGGCCUCCCAAAGUGCUGGGAUUACAGGCUUGAGCCACCGCGCCCGGCCCCGGGCUUCUAUGCUUUUUUAAAAAAUGUGACAGAAAGUCUGCAUGAGGUUUUAACUUUUUUUUUUUUUCCUGGUGAGGACAAAGUCAAUUUUCAACUGUGAGAAAAGUGCUCUGAGGCAAACUCGCUUUCACCACAGCUUAGCCCUGUGGCAUCUCCUGCUGUGGCCAUGCACCCAAUAAAUUUCCCUAGAUGUGCAAUUCCUGUAGCCUGGUCCUGGUCAGGCUGGCAUGGCAGGAGGGCUUCCUUCUAUUACUAAAGUGGAGUCUCCAAAUUACCUCUUUGGAACGUGUGAACCCUAGGGCAUGGUUCCCAACCCCUGAGCCACAGACUGGUACAGGGCCACAGGCAGGGGCUGAAGGGUGGGUGAGCAAGGGAAGCUCAUCUAUAUUUACAGCUGAUCCCCAUCGCUGGCAUUACCGCUCAAGCUCCCUCUCCUGUCAGACCAGCGGCGGCAUUAGAUUCUCAUAGAAGCACGAACCCUAUUGUGAACUGUGCAUGGGAGGGAUCUAGGUUGCGUGCUCCUGAUGAGAAUCUAAUGUCUGAUGAUCUGUCACUGCCUCUGAUCACCCCCAGAUGGGACCGUCUAUUUGCAGGAAAACAGGCUCAGGACUCCCACUGAUUCUACAUUACGGUGAGUUGUAUGAUUAUUUCAUUAUGUAUUACAAUGUAAUAAUAACAGAAAUAAAAUGCACAAUAAAUGUAAUGUGGUUGAAUUAUUCCAAAACCAUCCCCCUGCCUGGUCCAUGGAAAAACUGGCUUCCACGAAACCAGUACCUGGUGCCAAAAAGGCUGGGAACCGCUACCCUAGGGGAAGAAUUUAAAUACAAAUGUAGCAAACUCCAGUUCCUUAUUUUGUUCUGUAAAAGCAUUAUUGAUUUUGACAACCCAAAGCAUCAUCGGGAAAACAGGGAACACACUGCAUGGACAUCUGCCAUGAGGGGGAUGUUAGUGAUCGUUGGCUACAGAGCUCUGUGAAGGAGCAGGAAGAGAGCCAGGAGUCUAGUGGGCACCCCCGGGGGCAUAGCCCCUGUGUCCUGGUGUGCACGCUGGACGCUAGUGACCUGGAGGCCAGCAGUGGGAGGGGACAGGCAGCAUUAGGGAUUAGAAAGCAAAGACUUCAUGAGUUUAUUUUGGAUUGCUCUCUUUCUUUUAUGUUCCUUGUAUUCGUCUGC